GAGGGUAUAGCUUAAGUGGUAGAGUGCAUGCUUAGCAUGCAACAUGUCCUGGGUUCAAUCCCCAGUACCUCCU
rnacentral:tRNA from 1 species